CAGUAGCCACGGUAAUACGUAGGUCCCGAGCGUUGUCCGGAUUUAUUGGGCGUAAAGCGAGCGCAGGCGGUCAGAAAAGUCUGAAGUGAAAGGCAGUGGCUCAACCAUUGUAGGCUUUGGAAACUGUUUAACUUGAGUGCAGAGGGGGAGAGUGGAAUUCCAUGUGUAGCGGUGAAAUGCGUAGAUAUAUGGGGGAACACCGGUGGCGAAAGCGGCUCUCUGGUCUGUAACUGACGCUGAGGCUCGAAAGCGUGGGGAGCGAACAGGAUUAGAGACCCGUGUAGUCCCUGUCUCUUAUACA
rnacentral:rRNA from 1 species